GCCUGGGUGGCUCAGUUGGUUGAGCAUCUGACUUCAGCUCGGGUCAUGAUCUCACAGUCUGUGAGUUCGAGCCCCGCAUCGGGCU
rnacentral:tRNA from 1 species